rnacentral:rRNA from 1 species
UACAGAGGUCUCAAGCGUUGUUCGGAUUCAUUGGGCGUAAAGGGUGCGUAGGCGGCGCGGUAAGUCGGGUGUGAAAUCUCCGGGCUUAACUCGGAAAGGUCAACUGAUACUGCGCGGCUAGAGUGCAGAAGGGGCAACUGGAAUUCUCGGUGUAGCGGUGAAAUGCGUAGAUAUCGAGAGGAACACCUGCGGCGAAGGCGGGUUGCUGGGCUGACACUGACGCUGAUGCGCGAAAGCCAGGGGAGCGAACGGG